rnacentral:rRNA from 1 species
UACGUAGGGGGCGAGCGUUGUCCGGAUUUAUUGGGCGUAAAGAGCUCGUAGGCGGUUCGAUAAGUCGGAUGUGAAAUCUCCACGCUCAACGUGGAGGGGCCAUUCGAUACUGUCGUGACUCGAGUCCGGUAGGGGAGUGUGGAAUUCCCGGUGUAGCGGUGAAAUGCGCAGAGAUCGGGAGGAACACCAAUUGCGAAGGCAGCUCGCUGGGACGUUACUGACGCUGAGACGCGAAAGCGUGGGGAGCAAACAGG